rnacentral:rRNA from 1 species
GCGAACGCUGGCGGCAGGCCUAACACAUGCAAGUCGAACGAACCUUUCGGGGUUAGUGGCGGACGGGUGAGUACACGUGGGAACGUGCCUUUAGGUUCGGAAUAACUCAGGGAAACUUGUGCUAAUACCGAAUGUGCCCUUCGGGGGAAAGAUUUAUCGCCUUUAGAGCGGCCCGCGUCUGAUUAGCUAGUUGGUUGAGGUAAUGGCUCACCAAGGCGACGAUCAGUAGCUGGUCUGAGAGGAUGAUCAGCCACAUUGGGACUGAGACACGGCCCAAACUCCUACGGGAGGCAGCAGUGGGGAAUCUUGCGCAAUGGGCGAAAGCCUGACGCAGCCAUGCCGCGUGAAUGAUGAAGGUCUUAGGAUUGUAAAAUUCUUUCACCGGGGACGAUAAUGACGGUACCCGGAGAAGAAGCCCCGGCUAACUUCGUG